rnacentral:tRNA from 1 species
AGGGGUAUCGCCAAGCGGUAAGGCAGUGGACUCUGACUCCACCAUUCAAAGGUUCGAAUCCUUUUACCCCUG